GGGGGGGGGGGGGGGGGGGGGGUGGGGGGGCGAGGCGGGGGGGAGCGGGCGUGGGGGGGCUGGCGCUUGGCGGACGGGUGCGGACUGCCUCGGGACGUGCCCAGAGGUGGGGGCUAGCUCAGCGAGCGCUGUGCUGCUACCCCACUUGAUCUUAGGCUGCCCGCGGGGGACCAAGCAUCAGUGUUUUGCCUCUGGCCUCCUGAUCGGCCUCUGUCAGAUUAGGGCUUUUGUGUGGUAACGGCCUACCCACCCUAAGCUCUGUAGCUGGUCUGAGAGGACGACCAGCCACACUGGAACUGAGACCCGGCCAAGAUUCCUACGGGAGGCAGCAGUGGGGAAUUUUGGACAAUGGGCGAAAGCCUGAUCCAGAAAUGCCGCGUGCGGGAAGAAGGCCUUCGGGUUGUAAACCGCUUUUGUACGGAACGAAAAGGCUCUGGCUAAUACCUGGGGCUGAGGACGGUACAGUAAGAAUAAGCACCGGCUAACUACGUG
rnacentral:rRNA from 1 species